rnacentral:rRNA from 1 species
GAUGAACGCUUUCUUCUUUCUUAACACAUGCAAGUCGAACGAUGAAGCCCAGCUUGCUGGGUGGAUUAGUGGCGAACGGGUGAGUAACACGUGAGUAACCUGCCCUUGACUCUGGGAUAAGCCUGGGAAACUGGGUCUAAUACUGGAUAUGACUUCUCAUCGCAUGGUGGGGGGUGGAAAGAUUUAUUGGUCUUGGAUGGACUCGCGGCCUAUCAGCUUGUUGGUGGGGUAAUGGCUCACCAAGGCGACGACGGGUAGCCGGCCUGAGAGGGUGACCGGCCACACUGGGACUGAGACACGGCCCAGACUCCUACGGGAGGCAGCAGUGGGGAAUAUUGCACAAUGGGCGCAAGCCUGAUGCAGCGACGCCGCGUGAGGGAUGACGGCCUUCGGGUUGUAAACCUCUUUCAGUAGGGAAGAAGCGAGAGUGACGGUACCUGCAGAAGAAGCGCCGGCUAACUACGUG